UUAAGCGUGUAGGCUGGUUUUCCAGGCAAAUCCGGAAAAUCAAGGCUGAGGCGUGAUGACGAGGCACUACGGUGCUGAAGCAACAAAUGCCCUGCUUCCAGGAAAAGCCUCUAAGCAUCAGGUAACAUCAAAUCGUACCCCAAACCGACACAGGUGGUCAGGUAGAGAAUACCAAGGCGCUUGAGAGAACUCGGGUGAAGGAACUAGGCAAAAUGGUGCCGUAACUUCGGGAGAAGGCACGCUGAUAUGUAGGUGAAGUCCCUCGCGGAUGGAGCUGAAAUCAGUCGAAGAUACCAGCUGGCUGCAACUGUUUAUUAAAAACACAGCACUGUGCAAACACGAAAGUGGACGUAUACGGUGUGACGCCUGCCCGGUGC
rnacentral:rRNA from 1 species